GUGUUAAAAAUCAGAAGUGACUAUUUUGGCAACUGGUUAUUUCUCUGUUGGUCUGUACUUGUUUUCUAAUACUACUGGCAUUCAAGUAGUGUUGCUUGGGUUUAUUGUUGGUUUUCGGUUGGUUUGGAAAUUCUUUAUUUUUCUACUUGGUUGUAAUCUCUUGGGUUUUGCUGAUAUUCCCUCUUUUACUGGGCUACUCUCGUGUUGUUGAACUGCUGUUG
rnacentral:lncRNA from 1 species